rnacentral:lncRNA from 1 species
UCCCUGGUAGGUAUAGUAAUAACAAUAAAUAAUUUUAAUAUAUUUGAAGUUUUCAUUACAUACCAGGUAAUUCUGAGCCUUUUCUUUAUAAGAUCAUUAACACCACAUGCCAACAUAUCUUGACAUAGGAGUUUGUCUUGACAGAAGAAGGCAGGUAGGGCUAGUGCACUAGGCUUUCCCAGGACAGAACUGGAGCAGGGGCUGAGACAGCACCCAAGCAGCUAGAAGUGGUGCUAGAAGUUCUGCAGGACUGUAUUAGUGGAUCAGCUGGGAGAGCAUCCAAGUCCUCUCUGGUGUGUUGCCCUCAGUAUGGACAGAAUGUAGCUGGAAAGCAUAUUAAGUGACAGACAAAGUCCUUGGGAUUCAGGACAUGGCAUU